rnacentral:rRNA from 1 species
CUCUAUACUUGGCAUUUCGAGCGGACAGAUGGGAGCUUGCUCCCUGAUGUUAGCGGCGGACGGGUGACAAACACGUGGGUAACCUGCCUGUAAGACUGGGAUAACUCCGGGAAACCGGGGCUAAUACCGGAUGGUUGUUUGAACCGCAUGGUUCAAACAUAAAAGGUGGCUUCGGCUACCACUUACAGAUGGACCCGCGG